rnacentral:rRNA from 1 species
GAAUAUUGGACAAUGGGGGGAACCCUGAUCCAGCCAUGCCGCGUGUGUGAAGAAGGCCUUUUGGUUGUAAAGCACUGUAAGCGAGGAGGAGGAGCUAUUGGUUAAUACCCAAGAUGCUUGGACGUUACUCGCAGAAUAAGCACCGGCUAACUCUGUGCCAGCCGCCGCGGUAAUACAGAGGGUGCAAGCGUUAAUCGGAAUUACUGGGCGUAAAGCGAGCGUAGGUGGCUUGAUAAGUCAGAUGUGAAAGCCCCGGGCUUAACCUGGGAACGGCAUCUGAUACUGUUAGGCUAGAAUAGGUGAGAGGAAGGUAGAAUUCCAGGUGUAGCGGUGAAAUGCGUAGAGAUCUGGAGGAAUACCGAUGGCGAAGGCAGCCUUCUGGCAUCAUAUUGACACUGAGGUUCGAAAGCGUGGGUAGCAAACAGG